rnacentral:miRNA from 2 species
UAAGGCACGCGGUGAAUGUCA